GGGCUUAUAGCUCAGUUGGUUAGAGCGCACGCCUGAUAAGCGUGAGGUCGGUGGUUCGAUCCCACCUAAGCCCA
rnacentral:tRNA from 1 species